GGUGCCACCUAUUACGGAGCAGAAUAGAGGUGAUACUAUGGGUCACAUAGGAGUCCCGGAGGUUGAUACCUCCAAGUAAACUAUUACCAUAAAAGAAGUGUAAGAAAUUGUUUAAGGCUGAAUUUAAACAUUGCUGCUUUCUUUCUAUCGGCUGGUCAUCCUAGUUUAAAUGCAUCAUUACGUCAUAGUUGUCUAUGAAGCAUCGCAGGCGCGUCAAUUGAGGGGGGUUGGAGGGGCCGUCUGUAUAGCUCUAUAGUGAUUUUUGAGGUUAUCUUUUUCCAUGUUCCAGGAAGCUUACGCGUAAAUGUGUCUCAGUGUAAUUAACACUUAUUGUGUUUAAUCCGAGUUUUUGUUUUUACGAAUAGCCUGCUACUGUGAAAUGAGUGAAAUGGAGGCUGAUCUACAUAAGACUUUAGACGAAAUACACCAGAUUGUUACAACAGAUGGUAUCAGUGAAGCAACCGCUUUGUCCCGUAUUAACUCCGUUCUAUCGGCUCAUUAUUUAACGGCUCCGACUCUCACUAUUGCGAGGAAGCUUGUACGCAAUUUGGCUGUUACUGAGGAGGGAAAAUUUAAUCCGCUGAAGUUAGUGGACACGUUGAUGGAACUCGAAUACUUCAUUACUGGGUUCAACAAGGUCCAACGAUCACCGUCAAUCCUUUCUUCUGGCUCCACAUCAGUAUCCAUGCAAAAGGGGUUCGCUGGAAUAAGUAAACCUGUAUGCUCGAAAAAUACCUUGGAUUUACUCGAAAGGAAGGAGGCUUUUUUCAAUUUAAAGGAGAAAAAGACAAAUUACCUACGGGAAGACUUUGAGGCUUUAACAGAUACUCCACGCCGUAAAGUACGGAAACUGCCAGGGGAAAAUGAACCAUCCACGACUCGGAAUGCAUCACGCCAAUUACGUUAUGUUGAAGAAUAUGAGCAGAGAAUGAAUUUACGGUUAAACGAGAAAGAUGGACCGCCAACUCUGGAUCAAUGCAGUGACGGAGUAAUUGUUACCGGCAUUCUGGAUGGAUCGUCGCAAACAGAAAAUCCAAGUGAAGGAGAACAGAUAACUCUUCCUGCUGCAAUUGUUGAUGAAACACCGGUCAUACAGGAUCCGCCCCUUGAUGCCGAGAGGAAUCGUCCUAAUGAACCGGAACCAGUAAUAUCCAAUGGUAGCGCCUCAAGGAAUAUCCAUAAUGCUGAUAGUAACGAUGUUCUGAAUAUCGAACCUGCGAUGAACAAUACUCUAGUGGCGAGACCGCUCAAUCGUAAUCCUCCCGCUAACGUAACCAUCUAUACACGUGGCCGCGACUUUCCAAUGAUUUGUGAUCAUGUGGAGAUACGCAGGCACAUCAAUUACCGCAGAGAGAAUGGUCCAGAAUCAUUGCGGAUUGAAUUGGGGCUCCACGGCAUACACGGACCGUAUCUUUUCGUUGGAAACAUGCAUCGUCUGCGACGCAUAAAAAGUCUCGCCGUCUUUGAUUCUGAUAUGAUGAAUAUAGUGAAUCCCCCUAACAAUGAAGCGAUACACUACGGAUUUCGUCUUACCUACAAUGUUAAGGACCUAAGGAUCAAGAAAAAACGGGAUGCAGCAAUUAAAAUUUUCGGCAAUGGGUUCCAUAGAAGGCUGAUAAGGUCCAAAAGCCUACAAUGCGUUUCAUUAACAGUCUGUUCCGCGGUUCUGUACAAUACUGACGAUUAUUCAAUAGCAACAACGCCCGUGGUCCUUGCAAUUCUAAGAAGAAUGAUAAUUAAAUUCUGCGAGACUGAUAUACACGACAGAUGUCUUGUAUUUCACUUUGGACUGCCUCCAGAAUUUGACAUGGGUACAGGUACUACAAACAACUAAAUGAUGGUAUUCCUGCUAUGGCGAGGUCCGGCACAGCUUUUCUUGUUGCUUCAGAAUUUGACAAGACACGGAAAGUUGCCUGGUUCCUGAUGCACAGUCCGGAGUUAUUUUAUAGAUACCUGAAACAUAAAACAAUGGGCUUUACCAAAAAUUUUCUUAGCUACUAUGAAGCAAUCACCGAAACUCGGCCCGUCAAAUUAUAUUUAGACUUAGAAUGGGUUACUGACGGAAACGAUAAUAUAUUUCCGCACAUUCGUGAUUCCUUCGAGUCAUAUGUCCGAACAUUAAUCGCGGGAAAUAUUCGCUUCUACUGGACCACGUCAUCGAGGGGUACGAAGGCAUCGUACCACCUCGUUGCUGGUGGUCUAUCUUUCCGAACGAAGCAGGAUGUGCGCUCUAUUGUAGAAAACUAUAUUGAACAACUGCCGCCCCACAUAAAAGACGGGUUCAUUGUAGACGGAAAGCUAAUCAUCGACCUACACGUUUACAAUCGCGGUCUGCAGCAAUUUCGAUUACCCUAUUGUAGUUAAUAUGUUUCCCCCUAGGAAUUGAGGACAGGAAUACAGCAACGGCCACUCCUUCCGUUGACCGCAAUAGAUGAAAACAAUUUUAAAGAAUAGCUUGUCCAAGUAAUCCCAGACGCAUCACAAGAACAUCCCUUACAAGAUAUCCAGAAGCAUAAUCCACAGUUUCGAAGGACAUCAACGAUCGUGCCUCACACAGAUAUCAGGGGCCUUAAUCCGCAAAGCUAUAUUCCUUUACCCAUCCUAGAAAGACUAAAGGCCUACUCCACUCCAGGCAUCAUUACAACCUGCUCCACUCGUGAACCAUCCCGGUACAGGGUUUCCUCGACUGGUCGGAUUUGUGUGAUUCGACAAGGCAAACACGCCUCCAACACUAUUUACUUUGAUUUAGACCUACAAGAGAAAACCCUGUACCAGGGCUGUCACGAUGUAGAGUGCGCUCGCUUAUAUUACGGAGGAUCGUACAUGAGACCAAAUUAUGGUCAUCUCACCCGUAUCAUAUACCAGAAGAUGAAACAGAUUCUUUCUUAAGUACGUCCUUUGACGAUGUAUGGUCGCUUGAUACCUGCGCAAAACGUUCCUUUAUCAAGGGACUUGCUCCCUGCGAAUAAGGUCCCCGACUAAGCAAAACCAACUCCUUAAUUUUACACUUUAAAAAUUGUGAAUUGCCUCAUUUAAAUGUAUUGUCCACGUAGGGAAUAAUCUUCUAUAAUGUUACGAUGUUAAGUUUUUAUUCGCCUGACAUUUCCCUCGGUAAACUUAAACGGUCCCCUCCUUAUAAUGAUACGUCGCAAUUUAUCGUGACAAGAAUCUGUGGUACGAGUAAAAUUGGUAUCACAUAAGGCAUUGACGUCUUUAAGAAGGAUACACACCUUUUCCAUGUACCCAACGAUGGGCAACAUUACGAAGACUCCAUUUGUUGCUACCCACUAAUAAAUUUUACGCAUAUUGAUUCUGUACCCAGAAGAUUCUGUAGUAGCUGUUGACUCACCAAUUUCCAUUUAAAGCUUGGUAUUAAUUUUUUUUUAGGAUACUGCCUAAACAACGGAUCGCAGAAUUCAUUAUUACUACCAUGGUAUCAUUCAUUACAUGUGGGCCUUUGUUCUUUUAAUUAUUUACUUAAAAUUAUAUUCUAUCAUAUUGAGGGUUUCACGGAGAAAAAUGGAACAGCGUUCUGAACAUGUUACCGGCUGUGUCUGGUGAGAAUGCGUUAGCGCACAGCUGAGUUGGUGUGAACAUCAGGGGAUAGAUGAGUUCAAGGCAUGGGCCGAAAUUUUUGCCCUGCCCCAACGACAUGUUUGGAACUGUGGUGAACACUUGGAACGCCCGACGAAAAAAUUGCCGCAACCACCGUUUCGCUUCGAUCUAGGAUGCGCGCGCAUCGACGCCGAAGUUGUGUACGUGCAUUCCCGAACGGCGCGGCGACACCAAGGUCGACAAAAGUGCUGAGCAUGUGUAACGGUCUUGAGAUUGCGCGAGCUUAAUGUCGUUUGGUCGUUUCUGAAUUCCCUUAUCCUUAUCUGUGUGUGUGCCCUCGGUUUGAUUCGGAGUCGUAUGAAAGUGUGUUUUUUGACCCACUGAUUUUCCAUCGACAUUAAUAAUCUACUCGGGAGGAAAUAAGUGAGCUCCCAAUGAUCUACGCUUUUGUUUGCGGUGCGGCGUGCCCCUGCCUAUGUGAUCCCUCCAAGUUUUAUCGCAUUUCAGUUCAGCAUUUUGUUUUGACCCAGUGAGUUUUCAGUGAGUUUUUUCUUCUUUUCACAUAAAUUCUGGUCAGUCCUCUACUCAUUCAUACAUAUAUUAAUUAUUCUACAUGCCAUAUGUCUCAGCUCAUGUUAUGUUGAAAGGUUAUGUUUUGCCUGCUCACUUAUACAAAAUAUUCCUUUCAAUCAAAGUUUGUGCUGAAUUUUUAUCUGCCUGAUUCUGCAUUCAUAUUGUGCAAGAUCACAAAUAGAAUUUGAAUACCUCAGUGCUUUCUCCUUUCAUGCCUCGUUCUACCCAUAAGUUCCGCUGUGAAAUAUACUUGUUACUUGCAUUAAUACAAAGAAACAACUCAUUAAUUUUUUUGAAUUGAGUCCCGAUUAUAAAUGAAACCUAUAUUCAAUACCUACUAGGCAUAAAUUUAAGCCGCUUAAGCAGUUUCAGUUCAAAGUAGGUUCCUGUGUCUCAUUACCUCAUUUCAGUGAAUAAGAUUUAAAAUGCGCCUAACCUCAAAUACUCAGUGACGGUUUUCGAGGUAUCUUAAUUUACAUGAAUAAUCAGUGAUGAUGUCUCCGGUAAGUGGAAAUCAUUAUAAUGGUUUGGUUUUGUGAAAUGGAUUUCCUGUAAAAGAUUUCAAAUGCCCAUGCCCUGAAUAGUGUCUCAGUCCACAAGAUUUCUCGACAUAUGACCUCAUAAGUCCUGCAUUAUCCUGUUUCGGUGAGUUCCUUCAUCUUUCAUGUCUCCUUUCCAGUGAUUUGCUUUUGCAGCAUGCCUGUUUCUUCGACAUUAUCUUUUUUUCACUUCUAGGUAUCUAAAGUUUUAUCCCAUUUCUCCUAGGUACUCGCUUCGUUCUAUAUUUUUGUUCCACUCUUCUAUUUUUCCUCUGUAAUUUUUCAAUUUUUUUAAAAUAAAAUACCUAGUAAAAGUUGACAAGGUCUUUAAAAUGUCAAAAUUUGCAUGUUGAUGAGCAUGUUUUCCUCCUCAUUAUAACUUGUAACAUGUUUCACCAAAAACACUAUAGAGGAGACAAAUAAAAAGGUGAGGAAAUUUUAAGAUUUUUUAAAGAUUUUAAAUGUGCUCAGGUUUUUUCUCUUGUUUUUUUUCAUCCUCACUGUUAACUAAAGAAUAGAACAAAGCAACCUCCCCCUCCUCAAGGGGUAAGGGGUGGGGGGGGGGGGGUCGCCCCUCCCAAUAUAACGCCUCCCACCCUCCGCCCCCUCCCCGCGCUGACCACAGGCCAAACUGUACGUAAGGGCAUGGAUUUCCGCAACUGGGUACAUGGAUAUCCGCACCUGGUCGCAUCCGCCGAGGCUGUGCUGAGCACAUCCGGAGGGCUGCGCUCAAGUGCAAAAGAAAUGUUAGAGCAAAAUCGCCGUCCGGGACCCUGUGCUGGAGUCCAUCUUCUGGUGCUGGGCGCUGUUCCAUUUUUCUCCGUGUUAAAUACCUCAGAAAUUAACUCCUCGUAUCCGUGUCCCUUUAUUUUUAGGAUUAAAUUUUAUUAACUAUUUGCAUUACUUAAAUUGCCAUAAUGUACUUUCCUAUGUCCUUUGAAAUUUUCAUCAUUCCUUCCCUUUGAAGCCAGCAUUAUGGGCAAUUGCCAUUCUAUGUGAGAGAAAUGCUUAUACCCCAUGUGUCUUUUGAAAUUUCAUCAUUGCCGUCAUCUGUUCUCCAACUGUUAAUGAUGAAUUUCCCCAACUCUUUACUCUUUUAUUAAUUAUAUAUUUAAAAUUUUAAUCUUUCCUUUAUUAGAUGGUUUAAAAUAUAGGAGAAUUUGACUCAUUGCCUUCCGUCUCUCUCAUUAUUUGUGGGAUUAAUUAUUAUUAAGUCGUUCUUUUAAUUAUUUACUUUAAAUUAAAUUCUAGCAUAUUGAGGGUUUAAAUACAUCAGAAAUUAACUACUUGUAUACGUGUCGCUUUAUUUUUAGGAUAAAAUUUUAUUAACUAUAUGCAUUAUUUAAAUUGACAUAAUGUACUUUCUUAUGUCCUUUGAAAUUUUCAUCAUUCCUUCCCUUUGAAAUCAGCAUUAUCGGCAAUCACCAUUCUAUGUGAGAGAAAUGGUUAUACCCCAUUUGGUUUUGAAAUUUCAUCAUUUCCGUCAUCUGUUCUCCAACUGUUAAUGGUGAAUUUCCCCAACUCUUGACUCUCUUAUUAACUAAAUAUAUAAAAUUUUAAUCUUUUCUUCAUUUUGAUGGUUUAAAAUAUAGGAGAAUUUGACUCAUUGCCUUCCGUCUCUCUAAUUAUUUGUGGGAUUACUUUUUAUUAAGUCUAUGGCCAAUUUAAAUUGCCAUAAUGUAUUUUGUUAUGUCUCUUUAACAUGUGUAUCACUUCCGGAUUUCUUGAAUCGAGGAUUAAUAGGACUGUCCAUUUUUAUAACAGAAAUGGUUAUACCACAUGAGUCUUUUGAAAAUUUUCAUAACAUCCGUUCGAUAUAUGAAUGUUUUCUCCAACUUUGGACUCCCUAAAUACAAAAGGGAGGAUUAAUUACUUUUUUAAGAACUAGAUGCCAUUGGAAUCUCCAUUUGAAUACUGAAUACCUUAUACA
rnacentral:lncRNA from 1 species